rnacentral:rRNA from 1 species
CAUGCAAGUCGAACGAUGAACCUCACUUGUGGGGGGAUUAGUGGCGAACGGGUGAGUAACACGUGAGUAACCUGCCCUUAACUCUGGGAUAAGCCUGGGAAACUGGGUCUAAUACCGGAUAUGACUCCUCAUCGCAUGGUGGGGGGUGGAAAGCUUUAUUGUGGUUUUGGAUGGACUCGCGGCCUAUCAGCUUGUUGGUGAGGUAAUGGCUCACCAAGGCGACGACGGGUAGCCGGCCUGAGAGGGUGACCGGCCACACUGGGACUGAGACACGGCCCAGACUCCUACGGGAGGCAGCAGUGGGGAAUAUUGCACAAUGGGCGCAAGCCUGAUGCAGCGACGCCGCGUGAGGGAUGACGGCCUUCGGGUUGUAAACCUCUUUCAGUAGGGAAGAAGCGAAAGUGACGGUACCUGCAGAAGAAGCGCCGGCUAACUACGUGCCAGCAGCCGCGGUAAUACGUAGGGCGCAAGCGUUAUCCGGAAUUAUUGGGCGUAAAGAGCUCGUAGGCGGUUUGUCGCGUCUGCCGUGAAAGUCCGGGGCUCAACUCCGGAUCUGCGGUGGGUACGGGCAGACUAGAGUGAUGUAGGGGAGACUGGAAUUCCUGGUGUAGCGGUGAAAUGCGCAGAUAUCAGGAGGAACACCGAUGGCGAAGGCAGGUCUCUGGGCAUUAACUGACGCUGAGGAGCGAAAGCAUGGGGAGCGAACAGGAUUAGAUACCCUGGUAGUCCAUGCCGUAAACGUUGGGCACUAGGUGUGGGGGACAUUCCACGUUUUCCGCGCCGUAGCUAACGCAUUAA